rnacentral:rRNA from 1 species
GACGAACGCUGGCGGCGUGCUUAACACAUGCAAGUCGAACGGAAAGGCCCUGCUUUUGUGGCGUGCUCGAGUGGCGAACGGGGGAGUAACACGUGAGUAACCUGCCCUUGACUUUGGGAUAACUUCAGGAAACUCGGGCUAUUACCGGAUAUGAGCUCCUGAUGCACGGUGGGGGUUGGAAAGUUCCGGCGGUUGGGGAUGGACUAGCGGCUUAUGAGCUUGUUGGGCGGGUAGUUGCUGACCAAGGCUAUGACGGGUAGGCGGCAUGAGAGCGUGACCAGCGACAUUGCGACUGAGAUACGCCCCAGACUCCAACGGGAGGCAGCAGUGGAGAGUCUGACGGAGUGGCGGGAAGCCUGAUGCAACGAUGCCGCGUGCGGGAUGACGGCCUUCGGGUUGUGAACCGAUGUCGCAUGUGCCGAGGCGUGAGUGACGGUAAUGGGUAAAAAAGCACCGGCUAACUACGUG